UGUUCGAGCGUCAUUUCACCACUCAAGCCUCGCUUGUUAUUGGGCGCUGCGGUCCGCCGCACGCCCCAAUGUCUCCGGCUGAGCCGUCCGUCUCAAAGCGUUGUGGCAACUCAAUCCGCUUCUGGGACCGGGCGACCCGGCCGUUAAACACCCCACACAAGGUUGACCUCGGAUCAGGUAGGGAUACCCGCUGAACUUAA
rnacentral:misc_RNA from 1 species